rnacentral:rRNA from 1 species
GACGAACGCUGGCGGCGUGCUUAACACAUGCAAGUCGAACGAUGAAGCCGGAGCUUGCUCUGGUGAAUUAGUGGCGAACGGGUGAGUAACACGUGAGUAACCUGCCCUUGACUCUGGGAUAACUGCGGGAAACUGUAGCUAAUACCGGAUACGACCCUCGGAGGCAUCUCCUGGGGGUGGAAAGAAUUUCGGUCAAGGAUGGACUCGCGGCCUAUCAGCUAGUUGGUGAGGUAAAGGCUCACCAAGGCGACGACGGGUAGCCGGCCUGAGAGGGUGACCGGCCACACUGGGACUGAGACACGGCCCAGACUCCUACGGGAGGCAGCAGUGGGGAAUAUUGCACAAUGGGCGCAAGCCUGAUGCAGCAACGCCGCGUGAGGGAUGACGGCCUUCGGGUUGUAAACUUCUUUUAUGUGGGAAGAUUAUGACUGUACCACAUGAAUAGGGACCGGCUAACUACGUGCCAGCAGCCGCCGUAA